AACGGGGCUGGGGAGAAAUAGUUUCCAUCACGCAGUCUCGGGAAUUGGAAUUGGCCAGAAGGCCGUUGCUCGCCGCUCUCGGUACCUAAUGGGCAGACUCUGAAAUGUUAUUAAUCUAAGUGAACCGUGCGAGACACAGGGAGGGAGCGCGAAUCGAGUUAUUUGAUUUGAAGAAAGGAAACCAGGCAAGAACGUCCUGUAUGCGCGGCGUCCUGGAUUCCCUGCAACAGGCCGUUAGAUGAGAAAGACGUCUGUGGCAUGUGGCGCGGAUUUAAUGAAACUACAAGAUAAAUUGGGGAGCUCAGGCCAAGGUGAAAACACAGGGCUCCCGACACACUCUGCCUGGAGCCCGGGGGCCCCGGGGACGGAUAUAGGGGCAGGAUGUGAUGCCUGGAGCUUUGGCAGUCAUCUUGUGAUUGUGAGCUAGAGUGGCUACAAGACUAGUUCAAGCUACAAGACAAGUUCUGGCCAAUAAGAUGAAGGCAAAUGUGAAGGCUGGAGCUCCAACAGCACCCUUGGACCAUGAGGUGUCGUUGAGCAUGGGAGUCACAUACACAGGUGAGUGGAACAGAAAGGAGUCUGGGUUCCUGGGGACCCUGCAGACCUCCUGGACCAGUCCAGGACUGUCCGCUCCUGGACUUCUUUUCUGGAAGAAAAUAACUUCUUGUGUGUUUAAACCACUGUUAUUUUGAGUCUUCCGUAACUGAGAGAGGAACCUAAUCCUGAUGCUGAGCCAAAAGCUAGCCUGAGAACACUUUGCUUAAAACCUCUACAGGCUUCCCACCAUCCUAAGGAGAAAGCUCUGUGUCUCGAGGCCUGUGCCACUGGCCUUUCUGGCCUCAGCUGCAACCAAAAAAUUCCAGCUCAUCCUUGGAGACUCAGGUCAAAGGUCAGCAGAACCUCUGAGAAGCCUCCUUGAUCCCUUCUGGCAGGGGAUCCCUGGCUCCGGGGUCCCCACUAUCUUGCCCAUACCGCUGCACUGGCAAGUUUUGCGUUGCUGUGGAACUUUCCAGAUGAUGAUCGUUGGUCUUUUUGUCAAUGUCAUGGGGCCAGCCGUGCGAGCCCUGCCUCUCGUUCUCUGCAGGGGAAGCCGGGGCCCAGGGAAGGGCCAGCUGGUGGAGAUCACACAGCGGGGACAGAGCCGGCGCUUCCAGCUCUGGACCUAGCCUUUCCAUCCUCCAUCCUCUCAUUUGAUUAGACGGGAGGAACGAGGGGAGUCAUUCUAUCUGGCAGCUUCUCUUGGCAUCAGACUUGAGGAGGGAAAGGAGGAUUGGAAGCCGUCAAGUUGAGCUUCUUGGACUCUGGGUAGAAUUCUCUUCCUCCUGGAGGACCCAGCACGGGCUGCCCCAAGGGUCACCCCAGGGUCAGUUGCUAGGGCCCGCACAGCAUCGCUGGUGGGGUCUUAGGUGCGGAGACCCCCUGCCAGGUCUGGCCCAGGGCAGAGUUUGAGACGGGCGUGGAGAGGGCCCCGAGUCGCGGUCAGGUGGGAACCAGGGCAGGGCGGGCGGGGAGCUGGGCUCAGGUUAUGGCCUUUAGGAAAACCAGGGCUUGGGGUCAUUCUGUCCCUCACUCAGUGGAGCUGGUGGCGGUGGGGUCAGAUGACAGAGCCCUGUGUGUCCAGGCUCUGCAGGACUCUUGGUUUCGAGCCUCGACUCCGUCACGGACCGGCCAUGCGACAGUGGGACAAUUAAGUGUGCUCCUUUGUGCGUUACGUUCCCCAUUUGUGCAAUUAGUGAAGUCAUUCCACCAAAAAUAACGAAGCUCCCAGUACCGGCCAAACGUGGCCCUAGACGUGGGAGAAGAUGCUGGCACACAGCAGGUGACACGACACACUUUUUCUCUAUGGAGGUGUCAUUCGAGAGAGAGGGUUGGGGGAACCGAGAAUCGAUACGUAAACAAAUACGCAGAGAAUUGUCUGGUAAAGAUAAGGCUACAGUAAAAAUAAGGCAGGUCGGGGGCUAAAUCUGUGUUAACUGACGUUGGUUGGCCAAGCACCGGUCACACUUGUAUUUGCUUGUCCCCUGCCCGUCUACCCCCGAGGGAUGAGCAAUCAGAACAGAGGCCAGGUGUGAUUCAUCUCUAGGAUUGUCUAGGACAGAUUUCCCAAGUGUUUUCCAUAGAACCGUCUCUAGGUUAUGAGCACAAAAAGGGUUUUGUGGUCAAAGUCUGGGAGGCACCAAGCUAAAUAAAAGAAAAGAGAUUUUUGCUGCAGGACUUCUCAGAGCCUUUACAGGCUAAGGGGCAUCGUGACUCUCUGAGGUGAGCUGGGGCAGGGAGCAGCUGCCUACAGCAGGCAGCAGUUCCCAAACUAAAUGUGACUAGGGAACCACUUUGGGGCAGAGCAUCUUGAGGCACCAGUGUUCCAAGGAACCCACUUUGGGUGUCAUCUUUGGUUUGGAUGUCAUCUUCCCGGGCCCUCGUCCAGGGCAAAGUUAGGCAGUGGUACCUGGGGAAUCAGGGAGGGAGGUCUCCUGAGGAGUUGCUGAGAUCCCCACCCACAGUCUAGGGGCUCUCCUUCUUUCUUGAGGUACCACUCCAGAGACGGGCUGCUCUCCAGGUCAGGAGACAGGCUGUCCCUGGACCAGCGACGGGGAGGUCACUCUAAGCUGAUUGACAGGAACCUCCCCAAGAUGUGGCAGCAGCUGCAAUACCCCAACUUCACAGGGUGGCUGGUAGGGGUGGAGCCAAGCGGGCUCUCAGAGUCUUCCCACUCCCCCGGUCUGUGGGGCUCCAGGCCCCUUGGACCCCACACCCCCCAAGAGAGCGCGCAGCCUUCACACCCUUCCCCUUGGUGGAGUUGUGACAGGGCUCCCUGGUCUUGGGAGCCAGCCCAGAGUCCUUCCAGGCCUUGCUGGCUCCAAGGCUAAUCUUGAAGGCUGGGCCUUGGUGGCUGGGACCCAGGGUUCUGCUGAGUGAUGGAUGGACUCUUGUCUCUGGGAGAUGAGCACCGUACUUCUGGAGCCAGAGCAGAGAUUUUCCAGGCUCCUGGGUGCCUCUGGGGCCACCCUGAGCCGAGCCCUGGGGGCCAGGGAGAGGCCUCUGGGUGGAGGAGCCAGCCUUGGAUCUCUGGGACGCCGUGAUGGGGUCUCUGGCUGCGCAAGGCCAGGAAUGGGACCAAGGCUCAGGACCCCUGGGGGGAGGGGCUCCUGCAGCUCCCCUGGGCUGGAGGAGGCUCCUGAGAGGCCCCUGCUGGGGCUGAUCCUACCUCGGGCAGUAUCUUGAGCAUCACUCAGGGCCCAGUGGAGCCCCUGGCCUCAGCUUUGGGGCUCUGGGGGAAAGGCCCCCUAUAGAUGUGAGGGUUCUGGGUCUCACUUGUCCCUGAGGCUCUGAGGAAUGAGCAGGUUCCGCUGAGAGAGGCUUCAGGCUCGGGGAGAGACAGGGCCACCUGGGCAGGUGUACGGAGCUGAAAGCUUCUGCUGGCUUUCCUCUGAGCACAGGAAGACCUACUCCCAGCCUCCCUUGCAGUUCGACUGGAACGAAUGGAACAAAGAGGAAGUCACGCACUACUUCUCAGCCCGCCUCAGAAACAUCCUGCCUGCCCUCAGCCCUCCUGCCCCCUUCUACUGCAACCUAGGAGGGUGCAUGCUGAGUCCCCCGUUUGAGCACAGCCGCCCAGGAGGCCGCCCAGCCCCACGAGACUGCGAUGUGCGCAGGGAACAAGGCUUUAGCGCAUCAGGCCCCUGGGACAUGGCGUUUACUCCUCACACCAUGCAGAGGUGCUGUCCUCCUUGUCCCAGCGAGGCCCGUCUCAGGGGGUGUCCAGGGUGACGGGGAGUCACCGAGGUAGCGUGGUUGGGGCUUGGGACUCAUUCUAUU
rnacentral:lncRNA from 1 species